GGUAUCUGAAGAGACAAGGUAUCUUGCUGCAACUUCACGAAGUGGCAUUUCUUGUCGAUGAGAGGAACUCGUCUCUCUCUUCCCACACAAACGGAGUGCAGAAUGGAGCUGUAGUAUGGACUUCUUUCAGAAAGACAGCAACAAAAACAAGACUCAGAGUAAAGGUCACUUCUGAUCCAGCUUACACAGACCUUCCAUGUUUGUUCCCUGUCUACAGACCACGAGCUCUCAGGUUCAAGGCAGCAAGACUCACAAUCCUGCUUACGGAAUGUGCCUGUUUUGCAGUCAUGGAGGCACCCGGCCAGAUGAGGUUCAAGCUGGUCUGCAUUGAUUUGAACUUAAGGUAGUGUUGGAACUGCUCUAUUACCUGGAAGAACUCUGGAUUUUGGUUAAGUUCAUUUUGAUCCUGCUCAUAUUGGCUGCUUAAAGUGUACUUACACACAGCUUGAGCCUGUCUGGAUGCUGUUCUUCCUCUUCAGUCAUUUUUCUGCCCUGAUUUGUAUUCCUGCCCUCCAGCGUAACGUUAUUCAGAAACUUCUCGUCCU